rnacentral:other from 1 species
AAGUGCCUGAAGUGUUCGGUAAACUUCUGUAUUUUUGAACCUACAUUUACUUUAAACGGGAUAUCGAUAUUUCGCCAGCGGCUGUCACGCCUUCGGCCUCAGGGCUAUGGGAGAGGAAGACAAAUGUCGGCGCUGGGAUAACCCACCUGGCUUAUAGCUAGGAGUCAAAAGCAGAAGGCGGCACUUCGGGUAUUAU